rnacentral:rRNA from 1 species
GGUCAAGCGAAUAAGCGCACACGGUGGAUGCCUUGGCGGUCAGAGGCGAUGAAGGACGUGGCAGCCUGCGAAAAGUAUCGGGGAGCUGGCAACAAGCUUUGAUCCGGUAAUGUCCGAAUGGGGAAACCCACCCGCUUGCGGGUAUCCUGCAGUGAAUACAUAGCUGCUGGAAGCGAACCUGGUGAACUGAAAUAUCUAAGUAACCAGAGGAAAAGAAAUCAACCGAGAUUCCGUAAGUAGCGACGAGCGAACGCGGACUAGCCCUUAAGCUGAUUUGGUUCUAGGAAAACGCUCUGGAAAGAGUGGCCAUAGAAGGUGAUAGCCCUGUAUCUGAAAGGGCCAUUUCAGUGAAGACGAGUAGGGCGGGGCACGUGAAACCCUGUCUGAACAUGGGGGGACCAUCCUCCAAGGCUAAAUACUACUGACCGACCGAUAGUGAACCAGUACCGUGAGGGAAAGGCGAAAAGAACCCCGGAGAGGGGAGUGAAAUAGAACCUGAAACCGUGUGCGUACAAGCAGUAGGAGCUCCGCAAGGAGUGACUGCGUACCUUUUGUAUAAUGGGUCAGCGACUUACUGUUCGUGGCAAGCUUAACCGUAUAGGGGAGGCGAAGGGAAACCGAGUCUGAUAAGGGCGCAUAGUCGCGGGCAGUAGACCCGAAACCGGGUGAUCUAGUCAUGCCCAGGGUGAAGGUGCGGUAACACGCACUGGAGGCCCGAACCCACUCCCGUUGCAAAGGUAGGGGAUGAGGUGUGAUUAGGAGUGAAAAGCUAAUCGAACCCGGAGAUAGCUGGUUCUCCUCGAAAGCUAUUUAGGUAGCGCCUCAUAUGUAUCCUCUCGGGGGUAGAGCACUGUUAUGGCUAGGGGGUCAUCGCGACUUACCAAACCAUUGCAAACUCCGAAUACCGAGACGGACUGUAUGGGAGACACACGGCGGGUGCUAACGUCCGUCGUGAAAAGGGAAACAACCCAGACCCACAGCUAAGGUCCCAAAUUUUGUGCUAAGUGGAAAACCAUGUGGAAAGGCACAGACAGCCAGGAGGUUGGCUUAGAAGCAGCCACCCUUUAAAGAAAGCGUAAUAGCUCACUGGUCGAGUCGGUCUGCGGGGAAGAUUUAACGGGGCUAAGCACAGAACCGAAGCUUGGGGUGCAUAACUUUGUUAUGCGCGGUAGAGGAGCGUUCCGUAAGCCGUUGAAGGUGGAUUGAGAAGUCUGCUGGAGGUAUCGGAAGUGCGAAUGCUGACAUGAGUAACGAUAAUGCGGGUGAAAAACCCGCACGCCGAAAGCCCAAGGUUUCCUUGCGCAACGUUAAUCGGCGCAGGGUGAGUCGGCCCCUAAGGCGAGGACGAAAGUCGUAGUCGAUGGGAAGCAGGUUAAUAUUCCUGCACCUCGCGUAAGUGCGAUGGAGGGACGGAGAAGGUUAGGUGUACCAGGCGUUGGUUGUCCUGGGGAAAGGCGGUAGGUUUGGAUCUUUGGCAAAUCCGGGAUCCUUCAAGACCGAGCACCGAGACGAGCCUUUAAGGCGAAGUCACUGAUACCACGCUUCCAGGAAAAGCUCCUAAGCUUCAGCUUACGCAGACCGUACCGUAAACCGACACAGGUGGGUAGGAUGAGAAUUCUCAGGCGCUUGAGAGAACUCGGGUGAAGGAACUAGGCAACAUGGCACCGUAACUUCGGGAGAAGGUGCACCCUUUUUGGUGGCUCGUGCGAGCUAUAGCUGAAGAGGGUCGCAGUAACCAGGCCGCUGCGACUGUUUAUCAAAAACACAGCACUCUGCAAACACGAAAGUGGACGUAUAGGGUGUGACGCCUGCCCGGUGCUGGAAGGUUAAUUGAUGGGGUCAGCCGCAAGGCGAAGCUCUUGAUCGAAGCCCCAGUAAACGGCGGCCGUAACUAUAACGGUCCUAAGGUAGCGAAAUUCCUUGUCGGGUAAGUUCCGACCUGCACGAAUGGCGUAACGACAGCGGCGCUGUCUCCACCCGAGACUCAGUGAAAUUGAAAUCGCUGUGAAGAUGCAGCGUUCCCGUGGCAAGACGGAAAGACCCCGUGAACCUUUACUAUAGCUUUACACUGAACGUUGAGUUCGUCUGUGUAGGAUAGGUGGGAGGCUAUGAAACCAUGGCGCUAGCUGUGGUGGAGCCAUCCUUGAAAUACCACCCUGUCGUGCUUGACGUUCUAACCUAGGCCCAUUAUCUGGGUCGGGGACCGUGUAUGGUGGGUAGUUUGACUGGGGCGGUCUCCUCCUAAAGAGUAACGGAGGAGCUCGAAGGUACGCUCAGCGCGGUCGGACAUCGCGCACUGUGUGCAAAGGCAUAAGCGUGCUUGACUGCAAGAUCGACGGAUCAAGCAGGUAGGAAACUAGGACUUAGUGAUCCGGUGGUUCUGUAUGGAAGGGCCAUCGCUCAACGGAUAAAAGGUACUCCGGGGAUAACAGGCUGAUACCGCCCAAGAGUUCAUAUCGACGGCGGUGUUUGGCACCUCGAUGUCGGCUCAUCACAUCCUGGGGCUGUAGUCGGUCCCAAGGGUAUGGCUGUUCGCCAUUUAAAGUGGUACGCGAGCUGGGUUCAGAACGUCGUGAGACAGUUCGGUCCCUAUCUGCCAUGGGCGUUGGAGAUUUGAGAGGGGCUGCUCCUAGUACGAGAGGACCGGAGUGGACGAACCUCUGGUGUUCCGGUUGUCACGCCAGUGGCAUUGCCGGGUAGCUAUGUUCGGAAGCGAUAACCGCUGAAAGCAUCUAAGCGGGAAGCGCGCCUCAAGAUGAGAUCUCCCGGGGCACAAGCCCCCUGAAGGAACCAUGUAGACUACGUGGUUGAUAGGUCAGGUGUGUAAGUACAGCAAUGUAUUGAGCUAACUGAUACUAAUGAUCCGUGCGGCUUGACCAU